rnacentral:lncRNA from 1 species
GGAAAUGAGACGUGGAUUGCUCUGGCACACCCUCCCCCCCACGCCAGCCGCUUAAAAAUCCAUCCCCAAACCAAACCGGCCGCGAUUUUCAUUCCUGGAUUUUUCAUCUUUUCCUAAGGAGAUAAGUUGAUAUUGUUUGAAACAGCAACGAAAUUCCUUCCCAGCCACAUAAAUCUCCUGGUUUUAACCGCAGAUCCAGGGCUGAGGCUGGGGAUGAAGCUCGAAUGGGAAAGACCGAGCUGCGUGUGCCUGAAAUGAAAUUAUAAAUCCACAUCCCGGAGCAAGCGAGCAGCAGGAGGCACCAGGAACCUCCAUCAGCAGAAGCGCUGGGCUGCAGCAAGGGAUGGGAUUGGGAGUGGAACCGACAGGGCUGGGAGAGCUGUUGGCAUUUCUCCUGACAAAACCCUGCACAAACGGAGCCAGCCCAGGUGGAACCACAGCGUUGGACCCGCCUGGUGCUCGGCGCUGAGCCCCGUUCCUGCCCCCUGAGCUCUGCCCUCAGUUUCCUCAGCUGUAAAGUGAAGAAGAUGCUGCCAAGCCCUGCUUGAAAAGCGCUGUCAGACGCAGCAAAUGUCACCCAAUGGCUCAGGUGGUGCUUGGUCAGCUGGCACACAGCACAUCAAGGGCACAGCACGCUCUGCAUCAGCUGCCCUCUGAGGGACCAGCAAGGCUAAGGCCAGCCUGGACUGACCAGUGAUGAGUGGAGAGGAGCAACAAUUCCACCCUGCAAGCCAGAGCCAAGGAGGGAAUUGGCCUCUGCCACCCUCAAAGCCAAAUUAACCAAAUCAGCACAGUUCAGGAGGCUUCGGCAGGAGCAAGAGGAGAACUCCAAGGAGGAAUUGCAAUGAGGAGCCCAGGCUGGCUGUGCUGGACCCUUCACCAUGUGAACGUGCCCAGGCUCCAAUGCCUCAGCAGAGCCCCAUGUCGGAGCAGCCCUGCACCUGCAGAACGGUGAGAACUCCCUGGGGUCCAGUGGGACUGGGGGUUGUGCACUGGGACACCCAAAAUCCAGC